CCUACGGGAGGCAGCAGUAGGGAAUAUUGCUCAAUGGGGGAAACCCUGAAGCAGCAACGCCGCGUGGAGGAUGAAGGUUUUAGGAUUGUAAACUCCUUUUGUGAGAGAAGAUAAUGACGGUAUCUCACGAAUAAGCACCGGCUAACUCCGUGCCAGCAGCCGCGGUAAUCCGGAGGGUGCAAGCGUUACUCGGAAUCACUGGGAGUAAAGGGUGCGCAGGCGGGCUUGUAAGUCAGAUGUGAAAUCCUGUAGCUUAACUACAGAACUGCAUUUGAAACUAUGAGUCUAGAGUGUGGGAGAGGUAGGUGGAAUUCUUGGUGUAGGGGUAAAAUCCGUAGAUAUCAAGAGGAAUACUCAUUGCGAAGGCGACCUACUGGAACAUUACUGACGCUCAUGCACGAAAGCGUGGGGAGCAAACAGGAUUAGAUACCCUAGUAGUC
rnacentral:rRNA from 1 species